rnacentral:rRNA from 1 species
GAUGGUUCGAUUAGUCUUUCGCCCCUAUACCCAGUUCAUACGAUCGAUUUGCACGUCAGAAUCGCUACGGACCUCCAUCAGGGUUUCCCCUGACUUCAUCCUGACCAGGCAUAGUUCACCAUCUUUCGGGUCCCAGCGUGUACGCUCUUGGUGCGCCGCAACUUGCAAUAAGUAUGCGACGCCCCGGGAAUGCGAGGUAACAUAAAUAACGUUACCCAUCUUCCCUUUAUAAAAUAUAAUUAUAAAAAUUAUAUAUAUAUUUACUUUCAUUAUGCCUUUAGGUUUAUUAUAAAUACCCAAUGACUUGCGCACAUGCUAGAUG